GAUGAACGCUGGCGGCGUGCUUAACACAUGCAAGUCGAACGGAAAGGCCCAAGCUUGCUUGGGUACUCGAGUGGCGAACGGGUGAGUAACACGUGGGUGAUCUGCCCUUCACUUCGGGAUAAGCCUUGGAAACUGGGUCUAAUACCGGAUAGGACCACUUCUUGGAUGUUGUGGUGGAAAGUUUUUUCGGUGUGGGAUGAGCUCGCGGCCUAUCAGCUUGUUGGUGGGGUAAUGGCCUACCAAGGCGUCGACGGGUAGCCGGCCUGGGAGGGUGUACGGCCACAUUGGGGAUUAGAUACGGCCCAGACUCCUACGGGAGGCAGCAGUGGGGAAUAUUGAACAAUGGGCGCAAGCCUGAUGCAGCGACGCCGCGUGGGGGAUGACGGGCUUCGGGUUGUAAACUCCUUUCGCUAGGGACGAAGCGUUUUGUGACGGUACCUGGAGAAGAAGCACCGGCUAACUACGUG
rnacentral:rRNA from 1 species